UACAGAGGGUGCAAGCGUUAAUCGGAAUUACUGGGCGUAAAGCGCACGUAGGUUGGUAUGUAAGUCGGAUGUGAAAUCCCUAGGCUUAACCUGGGAAUUGCCUCCGAAACUGCAUGUCUAGAGUAUGGUAGAGGGUAGUGGAAUUUCCGGUGUAGCGGUGAAAUGCGUAGAUAUCGGAAGGAACACCAGUGGCGAAAGCGGCUACCUGGACCAAUACUGACACUAAGGUGCGAAAGCGUGGGGAGCAAACAGG
rnacentral:rRNA from 1 species